ACCUUAACCUGCUAACUAGCUUCCCUUUUUUUGUUUGGGUUUGCUUCUUAGAGGGACUUUACAGCGACAAGCUGUAGGGAAGUUUAAGGCAAUAACAGGUCUGUGAUGCCCUUAGAUGUCCUGGGCUGCACGCGCGCUACACUGAUGCAUUCACUAAGUUUUUCCUGCUCCGAAAGGUGUGGGUAAUCUGUAGUAUGCAUCGUGUCGGGGAUUGAUUUUUGCAAUUCUAAAUCAUGAACGAGGAAUGCCUAGUAUGCGCAAGUCAUCAGA
rnacentral:rRNA from 1 species